rnacentral:rRNA from 1 species
CCAGCGAGAGAACUGUUGUUAAGGAACUCGGCAAAAUGACCCCGUAACUUAGGGAUAAGGGGUGCCACCAUCAGGUGGCCGCAGAGAAUAGGCCCAAGCGACUGUUUACCAAAAACAUAGGUUUCUGCUAAGUCGCAAGACGAUGUAUAGGAGCUGACGCCUGCCCGGUGCUGGAAGGUUAAGGGGAUCUGUUAGAGCAAUCGAAGCAGUGAACUUAAGCCCCAGUAAACGGCGGCCGUAACUAUAACGGUCCUAAGGUAGCGAAAUUCCUUGUCGGGUAAGUUCCGACCCGCACGAAAGGCGUAACGAUUUGGGCACUGUCUCAACAACAGACUCGGUGAAAUUGUAAUUCCGGUGAAGAUGCCGGAUACCUGCGACAGGACGGAAAGACCCCAUGGAGCUUUACUGUAGCUUGACAUUGGGUCUUGGUACUACAUGUACAGGAUAGGUGGGAGGCUUUGAAACCAGGACGCCAGUUUUGGCGGAGCCAUCCUUGGGAUACCACCCUUGUAGUACUGGGACUCUAACCAUAGGCCAUGAAUCUGGUCUUGGGACACUGUCAGGUGGGCAGUUUGACUGGGGCGGUCGCCUCCCAAAAGGUAACGGAGGCGCUCAAAGGUUCUCUCAGUACGGUCGGAAAUCGUACGUAGAGUGUAAAGGCAAAAGAGAGCUUGAUUGCAAGACAUACAGGUCGAGCAAGGAUGAAAAUCGGACUUAGUGAUCCGGUGGUUCUGCGUGGAAGGGCCAUCGCUCAACGGAUAAAAGCUACCCUGGGGAUAACAGGCUUAUCUCCCCCAAGAGUCCACAUCGACGGGGAGGUUUGGCACCUCGAUGUCGGCUCAUCACAUCCUGGGGCUGUAGUAGGUCCCAAGGGUUGGGCUGUUCGCCCAUUAAAGUGGUACGCGAGCUGGGUUCAGAACGUCGUGAGACAGUUCGGUCCCUAUCCGUCGCAGGCGUAGGAAAUUUGAGAAGACCUGUCCUUAGUACGAGAGGACCGGGAUGGACG